AGUGAACGCUGGCGGCAUGCCUAACACAUGCAAGUCGAACGGCAGCACAGCAGUAGCAAUACUGUGGGUGGCGAGUGGCGGACGGGUGAGGAACACAUCGGAAUUGCCCAGUCGUGGGGGAUAACGUAGGGAAACUUACGCUAAUACCGCAUACGACCUUACGGUGAAAGCGGGGGACUCGCAAGAGCCUCGCGCGAUUGGAGCGGCCGAUAUCAGAUUAGGUAGUUGGUGAGGUAAAGGCUCACCAAGCCGACGAUCUGUAGCUGGUCUGAGAGGACGACCAGCCACACUGGGACUGAGACACGGCCCAGACUCCUACGGGAGGCAGCAGUGGGGAAUUUUGGACAAUGGGCGCAAGCCUGAUCCAGCAAUGCCGCGUGCAGGAUGAAGGCCUUCGGGUUGUAAACUGCUUUGUACGGAACGAAACGGUGAGCUCUAAUACAGUUUGCUAAUGACGGUACCGUAAGAAUAAGCACCGGCUAACUACGUG
rnacentral:rRNA from 1 species